CUAUACCAGUUUGUGCGCUUUAAACUCCAGCGGAGAGCAUCGCAGUUCAAAUCUAUUUCUCAAUAUCAGGUUUAUCUGACACAAUCUCUAUCGAUCCAACAUGUCGAUCCAUGGGAAUCCAACGAUUAGUUACACAUUCCAUGAUCCACACAAAAAUCGCUACUACAUAACGUACGUUACAGCGAAUGAUGCAACCAGAUUACACACAGACGUACAGUUCGCCACAGACAUAUUCUACCGCAUCAAAAGUAUUCAGGACGUCCUCCAAGACGCCGGUGUAACCAGUACAAGGCCAUUCUAUCGUUCAUCGAGUAAUGGACAAAUACACAGUCUUCCAAACCAAAAGAUCGUGCAUCUUCCCUCCAUCGGAUUAUCCCCAAGAUGGUUUACUUAUUAUCCUACACCAGUGCAGCGUUUCGUAUAUCCUGGCAAGAAGAAACAUCAUAUCUCCUUUCCAUCCUUCUGACACACAAUACCGAGAGUCCCCAAGAAUGUGAUAUUUCCCAAUGUAUUUAACCCAAAUACCUUUUCACCGCAAAUAGACAGUGAAAUGGUACAAUUAUCCGUUGAAACUUAUUAAAUUUAAUGAAUCAUUAUAGUUUUACGCAGGAAUAAAUCGUCAAAUAAUUGUC